AUCUGAAGAAUACAACAUAUUAUACUGCUAUGUUUAAUGCUGUCAUGGGUGUAUUCAGUUGCUAUGCUCGUACAGAAAAUUGUCUAUGAAAAGGAGAAAAGAUUAAGAGUUACAGGUAAUGAAGAUGAUGGGCUUAUCAGACAGUGUACACUGGUGGGCGUGGUUUAUAACUGCCGCAGUACAGAUGACUGUUACCGUGGUAACGCUGACGUUGAUGUUAUACUAUGGAAGUGUACUAUCACAUAGUAAUCCAGUCAUAGUGUUUAUGUUCCUGGAAAUGUUUGCCCUGUCUUCUAUUGCUUUUUCGUUUUUAAUUGACAGUAUGUUCUCACGGGCUAAACUUGCUGCAGCAAUUGUGCGGGUAUAUUUUACUUCAUAAUAUACCUACCAUACAUGUAUAUAGCCAUCAGAGAGGAUUUAACG